UUAAGCUGAGACAACCAACUGGCCAUUUUUCAUUUGUUUAUUUAUUUUUUGGAUUAUAAAAAGAAGUGAUCCACCAAAAAGAGAGGGGACCAUCACGGCUUUCCCUCUCUUCAUCUCCUGAUAUGCGUACAAGGCCAUGGGACGUACUCCAACCACUCCCUCUUCAUCUUCUUCACCUUCCAGACUCGAUCCGAUGCAACUCAGGGCCCUGAUUCCAUUUUUUGAAGCCCUUUUAAAGAGCAUGGAAACUAGAUGCAGUGAAAAACUUUCCACACCCACCUGUUGAAGAAAAAAUAGUUGUGCCAGUUUCAUUUCAUAGCAUUUGGUUGCUCGGAGAUGAUGGCAUGUUUAUCCGUGGGUGGUUCCUAUGAUUUUGCUAAUUUUUUUUAUUUUCCUUACCUGCUCUGUCAAUGGUGGAGGAUGCCGGCGAUGGGAAGUGGACGAGAAGAGCACUGCGACGUCGAUGGUGGAAAGAUACUGUAGCACAAACUUAAAUCUAUUUGGAAAGAGACCCAGUUUGCUGCUUUCCGUCGAUGGUGGAGAAGGUCGUCCCAUUGGAGGAGUCGUCGAUGGGCACAACACAGAGAGGAAAACAAAUUUGCAAUCGAGGAAGAUUUGAUGUUUGGAACUUCAUCAUCAUCUUCGUUGCCAACUUUAGUCAAAUGGUGGAAGUGCCUCUUGGGGAGUGGCUGUGACUUCGUGGGUUCAUGGAGAAGACAAAAGGGGGAGUGGUCAUCUAUGGCUUCGAUGAAGAAGAAGAUGAAAUUCCACCAGUAUUAGAUUUUCUUCUUCCUAUCUACUUCACUAUAAAAAUGAAACACAACAUUUCAUUAACAAAAAUUCUACUUGCAACCGGCCUGGGGAACCCCGCGACAUCGUGUCUGACAUGGCUAAUUAAAAACUGCAUUGUUUCAAUUUUGAGAGCCAAACGAAGAUAGAAGUGCUUGGUGGCUCCAUCUCCCAUCGAAACACCCAUCCCCACAUAAGUCUUUGUCUUCAUCUUCUCCAUCCCCACGAAGCCUCCAUUGUCUUCUCCACCAAGCAUCCACAAAAAAGCAUCCCCACUAAGCCCCCACUGUCAUACACAACAACAUUAUCAAAAGGUAACUAUAGAUCCACUUCCACUAAAAAUUUCCAAAAAUUCUAAAAGUACCCUCAGAAAUAAGAAUAAGAUAAACUCAAGACAAUCCCAAAACCCCAAAACAACUCAAGAAAAAACUCACUUGGAAGUAGGAAUCGGAGAGCUCAUUGGAAACCCAUCUCUUAUCUCAUUUUCUUUUUAAGUCCACAGGUGGCUAAAAUGGAGAGCCCCAGUGUAAAGCAUCAAGGAACCAUCAAACAGAGAUUUGUACGUUAGGAUAAUAACACAUUUUGAUUGUAAAUAAUUUUUUCGUUAUAAUAAAUUGAUCAUAAAAAUUUAUUUUUCUUGUAGUUUAAUUAGAAUGAUAGUGGAUCUUUAAUUUG